rnacentral:snRNA from 1 species
AUACUUCUGGCGCUUUUGCU